UGCAUCGGCCGGGAAUAGAACCCGGGCGGCCCGCGUGGCAGGCGAGCAUUCUACCACUGAACCACCGAUGG
rnacentral:tRNA from 1 species